rnacentral:ribozyme from 11 species
UUUUUUUCGUUUUUUUCUUUUUUUUUUCGGCUUGAAUUUGGUAUUUAUCAAAACAUGAAGAGAAUCUUAGACGAUGC